rfam:Melissococcus plutonius ATCC 35311 DNA, complete genome.
AUUUUCGGGUGAUCGCGGUCUAUAUUAUAUAGGCUGAGGAAAGUCCAUGCUCGCACAGGCUGAGAUGUCUGUAGUGUUCGUGCUUAGCAAAACCAUAAGCUAAGGUAUCUCUAAAGAGAUAACGGCAGAGAAAAUGGCUAAGGGAAACUAUGCCAAAGUACUCUAUAAAGUGUCACAGUGACGAAGCGACUUGGAAACAAGAUCGGUGGAACGCGAUAAACCCCUCGAGCGAGCAACCCAAACAAUGGUAGGGGCACUCUUCUAAAGGAAAUGAACGAGUAGAAGAGACAGAAAUUUUUCUGUAGAUAGAUGAUGACCCUCUAAAUUCUUUUCCUGAGAGAAUCUAGAGACAGAACAUGGCUUAUAGAA